rnacentral:rRNA from 1 species
AGAGUUUGAUCCUGGCUCAGGACGAACGCUGGCGGCGUGCCUAAUACAUGCAAGUCGAGCGAGCGGAACUAACAGAUUUACUUCGGUAAUGACGUUAGGAAAGCGAGCGGCGGAUGGGUGAGUAACACGUGGGGAACCUGCCCCAUAGUCUGGGAUACCACUUGGAAACAGGUGCUAAUACCGGAUAAGAAAGCAGAUCGCAUGAUCAGCUUUUAAAAGGCGGCGUAAGCUGUCGCUAUGGGAUGGCCCCGCGGUGCAUUAGCUAGUUGGUAAGGUAAAGGCUUACCAAGGCGAUGAUGCAUAGCCGAGUUGAGAGACUGAUCGGCCACAUUGGGACUGAGACACGGCCCAAACUCCUACGGGAGGCAGCAGUAGGGAAUUUUCGUCAAUGGGGGGAACCCUGAACGAGCAAUGCCGCGUGUGUGAGGAAGGUCUUCGGAUCGUAAAGCACUGUUGUAAGAGAGGAACGGUAUCCAGAGGGAAUGCUGGGUAAGUGACAGUAUCUUACCAGAAAGCCACGGCUAACUACGUGCCAGCAGCCGCGGUAAUACGUAGGUGGCGAGCGUUAUCCGGAAUCAUUGGGCGUAAAGGGUGCGUAGGCGGCGAGUUAAGUCUGAGGUAAAAGGUUGCAGCUCAACUGUAACAAGCCUUGGAAACUGACUGGCUAGAGUGCAGGAGAGGGCAGUGGAAUUCCAUGUGUAGCGGUAAAAUGCGUAGAUAUAUGGAGGAACACCAGUGGCGAAGGCGGCUGUCUGGCCUGUAACUGACGCUGAGGCACGAAAGCGUGGGGAGCAAAUAGGAUUAGAUACCCUAGUAGUCCACGCCGUAAACGAUGAGAACUAAGUGUUGGGGAAACUCAGUGCUGCAGUUAACGCAAUAAGUUCUCCGCCUGGGGAGUAUGCACGCAAGUGUGAAACUCAAAGGAAUUGACGGGGGCCCGCACAAGCGGUGGAGUAUGUGGUUUAAUUCGAAGCAACGCGAAGAACCUUACCAGGGCUUGACAUCCUACUAACGAAGUAGAGAUACAUUAGGUGCCCUUCGGGGAAAGUAGAGACAGGUGGUGCAUGGUUGUCGUCAGCUCGUGUCGUGAGAUGUUGGGUUAAGUCCCGCAACGAGCGCAACCCUUGUUUUAUGUUACCAAUAUUAAGUUAGGGACUCAUAAGAGACUGCCGGUGACAAACCGGAGGAAGGUGGGGAUGACGUCAAAUCAUCAUGCCCCUUAUGGCUUGGGCUACACACGUACUACAAUGGCAGUUACAAAGGGCAGCGACCUAGUGAUAGGGAGCGAAACUCGGAAAGGCUGUCUCAGUUCGGAUUGAAGUCUGCAACUCGACUUCAUGAAGUCGGAAUCGCUAGUAAUCGCGAAUCAGCAUGUCGCGGUGAAUACGUUCUCGGGCCUUGUACACACCGCCCGUCAAACCAUGGGAGUUGGCAAUACCCGAAGCCGGUGGCAUAACCGAAAGGAGUGAGCCGUCGAAGGUAGGGCCGAUGACUGGGGUUAAGUCGUAACAAGGUAUCCCUACGGGAACGUGGGGAUG